rnacentral:lncRNA from 7 species
AUAGGAUCAAAGGAGACAAUCUAUCUAGUGCCUGCCGCCAUCUUGUACAGUUCUUCAGGGUAGCGCCUGGACGAGAGCCUCGCGUCGGAUAUCUGAAUGAAUGAGGUACGUGUGGUUGCACGGGUGGAGUCGAUGCUGGACAGGUGCAGCGGGCGCUGGGACUCAUGAUAAGAGGAGGGACGCCGGCGUUGUGCUUGAGGGUGUUACAAAGUUAGAUUUUUAGUUGUAUUUUAAUCUAAAAAAUUAAUAUAAUAUAAUUAGGCUAUCUAAAGUUAUCAUAUCAUACAUUACCAUAAAAUAUAUGGUUUCCCAAUGCAUAGUAUUAUGUGUUAUUUCGUAGUCCCCACAAGGCAAUUAAAUAUUAGAUGUGCAUGAGAGUGUAAAUAGUGGGCCAUUUAGAUGGUUUAGAUUUUAAUGUAUAUGAUCUCAUGUCAAAGUGGUAUCUCCAUCAAUAUAUCACUU